rnacentral:rRNA from 1 species
UACGUAGGCCCCGAGCAUUAUCCGGAAUCACUGGGCGUAAAGCGUGUGUAGGUGGUCAUAUUAGUCGUCUGUUAAAACCCCGGGCCUAACCCGGGAAGUGCGGGCGAAACGGUAUGACUCGAGGGUGUGAGAGGUGCAUAGAACUCUAGGUGUAGGGGUGAAAUCCGUUGAUAUCUAGGGGAAUACCGAAAGCGAAGGCAGUGCACUGGCGCAUUCCUGACACUCAAACACGAAAGCGUGGGUAGCGAACGGG